rnacentral:rRNA from 1 species
GACGAACGCUGGCGGCGCGCCUAACACAUGCAAGUCGAACGAGAGAUGAGGAGCUUGCUCUUCAAAUCGAGUGGCGAACGGGUGAGUAACGCGUGAGGAACCUGCCUCAAAGAGGGGGACAACAGUUGGAAACGACUGCUAAUACCGCAUAAGCCCACGGCUCGGCAUCGAGCAGAGGGAAAAGGAGCAAUCCGCUUUGAGAUGGCCUCGCGUCCGAUUAGCUAGUUGGUGAGGUAACGGCCCACCGAGGCGACGAUCGGUAGCCGGACUGAGAGGUUGAACGGCCACAUUGGGACUGAGACACGGCCCAGACUCCUACGGGAGGCAGCAGUGGGGAAUAUUGCACAAUGGGGGAAACCCUGAUGCAGCGACGCCGCGUGGAGGAAGAAGGUCUUCGGAUUGUAAACUCCUGUUGUUGAGGAAGAUAAUGACGGUACUCAACAAGGAAGUGACGGCUAACUACGUGCCAGCAGCCGCGGUAAAACGUAGGUCACAAGCGUUGUCCGGAAUUACUGGGUGUAAAGGGAGCGCAGGCGGGAGAACAAGUUGGAAGUGAAAUCCAUGGGCUCAACCCAUGAACUGCUUUCAAAACUGUUUUUCUUGAGUAGUGCAGAGGUAGGCGGAAUUCCCGGUGUAGCGGUGGAAUGCGUAGAUAUCGGGAGGAACACCAGUGGCGAAGGCGGCCUACUGGGCACCAACUGACGCUGAGGCUCGAAAGUGUGGGUAGCAAACAGGAUUAGAUACCCUGGUAGUCCACACCGUAAACGAUGAUUACUAGGUGUUGGAGGAUUGACCCCUUCAGUGCCGCAGUUAACACAAUAAGUAAUCCACCUGGGGAGUACGACCGCAAGGUUGAAACUCAAAGGAAUUGACGGGGGCCCGCACAAGCAGUGGAGUAUGUGGUUUAAUUCGACGCAACGCGAAGAACCUUACCAAGUCUUGACAUCCCUUGACGAACAUAGAAAUAUGUUUUCUCUUCGGAGCAAGGAGACAGGUGGUGCAUGGUUGUCGUCAGCUCGUGUCGUGAGAUGUUGGGUUAAGUCCCGCAACGAGCGCAACCCUUAUGGUCAGUUACUACGCAAGAGGACUCUGGCCAGACUGCCGUUGACAAAACGGAGGAAGGUGGGGAUGACGUCAAAUCAUCAUGCCCUUUAUGACUUGGGCUACACACGUACUACAAUGGCGUUAAACAAAGAGAAGCAAGACCGCGAGGUGGAGCAAAACUCAGAAACAACGUCCCAGUUCGGACUGCAGGCUGCAACUCGCCUGCACGAAGUCGGAAUUGCUAGUAAUCGUGGAUCAGCAUGCCACGGUGAAUACGUUCCCGGGCCU